AUGUGCCACGCGUACAUGCCGAUUCCUUCGCGCCGUCCGCACCCACUUGGCGACUGCUUUAGAUCCUGUUAACA
rnacentral:sRNA from 1 species